rnacentral:rRNA from 1 species
CAGUCGCCGCGGUAAUACGAAGGGGGCUAGCGUUGCUCGGAAUGACUGGGCGUAAAGGGCGCGUAGGCGGUUUGGACAGUCGGGUGUGAAAUUCCUGGGCUUAACCUGGGGACUGCAUUCGAGACGUUCAGGCUUGAGUGGGGAAGAGGGUCGUGGAAUUCCCAGUGUAGAGGUGAAAUUCGUAGAUAUUGGGAAGAACACCGGUGGCGAAGGCGGCAACCUGGUCCAUUACUGACGCUGAGGCGCGACAGCGUGGGGAGCAAACAGGAUUAGAGACCCGCGUAGUCCCUGUCUCUUAUAC